rnacentral:rRNA from 1 species
UGGAGAGUUUGAUCCUGGCUCAGAUUGAACGCUGGCGGCAGGCCUAACACAUGCAAGUCGAACGGUAGCACAGAGAGCUUGCUCUCGGGUGACGAGUGGCGGACGGGUGAGUAAUGUCUGGGAAACUGCCUGAUGGAGGGGGAUAACUACUGGAAACGGUAGCUAAUACCGCAUAACGUCGCAAGACCAAAGAGGGGGACCUUCGGGCCUCUUGCCAUCAGAUGUGCCCAGUAUGGGAUUAGCUAGUAGGUGGGGUAACGGCUCACCUAGGCGACGAUCCCUAGCUGGUCUGAGAGGAUGACCAGCCACACUGGAACUGAGACACGGUCCAGACUCCUACGGGAGGCAGCAGUGGGGAAUAUUGCACAAUGGGCGCAAGCCUGAUGCAGCCAUGCCGCGUGUAUGAAGAAGGCCUUCGGGUUGUAAAGUACUUUCAGCGGGGAGGAAGGCAUAAGGUUAAUAACCUUGUGAUUGACGUUACCCGCAGAAGAAGCACCGGAGAACUCAGUGCCAGCAGCCGCGGUA